UACAGAGGGGGCAAGCGUUGUUCGGAAUUACUGGGCGUAAAGGGCGCGUAGGCGGCCUUCUAAGUCGAACGUGAAAUCCCCGGGCUCAACCCGGGAACUGCGUCCGAUACUGGAAGGCUUGAAUCCGGGAGAGGGAUGCGGAAUUCCAGGUGUAGCGGUGAAAUGCGUAGAUAUCGUAAGGAAGACCAGUGGCGAAGGCGGGUCGCUGGACAGUUCCUGACGCUGAGGCACGAAGGCCAGGGGAGCAAACGGG
rnacentral:rRNA from 1 species